rnacentral:lncRNA from 1 species
GUAAAACUUCCACAUCCCACAGAAGCAGCAAAUGCCGGAUUUCCAUUCUGCUCAGAGAGAGGACACACCGAAUGUAUGUGUGAGCUCAAGGAGACUUUGUCCAAGUAACUCAAGAAAAGCGUUUGACUAUGAAGCUCCAGCAACACAGCGCUGAGCAGACCCCACCUCUCACCCACUGCUUGUGGCUCCGAAUUCUAAGACAGGCCGCCGACAGACGGGGCAGGUGCAGUUCUCCGACAGCCAGCGAUCAAUACAGUGAAUGUGAAACUCGUGCAGACAAGGCAGCUGCCGGAGCUUGUUCCCAGCCACGUAGUCACUGAUGCACACGCUACACACCUUACCUAACUCACUGUCAACCCCGUCUUGUUCAUAACUCCUGGUAGAAAGAUUGUCAAUCUGCUCUUUGGUUAAACCACGAAUUGGAUCAUCAUCGCCUUCAUUCAGUAAGAAGAAGUGAGCAAGGCGCAGAAUGGGUAAUGUUCCAGCCUCAACUACGCUGUCCGCCCUUCCUAACUGCCUUCUACUUCUACUGCCACUGGGGCGAGCCUGGGGCGGGGCGGGCUCCCUCACAGCUAGCAUUUCAGCACCGUCCUGGGCCUGACUGGCCUGUGAGGACGCUCUUCCAUGCUGACCACUGUCAUCGGCUGCAUCUCCAUUACUCAGUUCUAGGUACACCUCUGGUAAACGUUGGCCAUUGCUUUGAUUCUCUGACGCAGGCUCCACCUCCAUUAGAGAACUCAGCUCUCCAAACCCAGUCAUGAUCUGCCUUAAAAUUGACCGAAGAGCCACGGAGGAUGGCUCGACCACGUCAUUCUCAGAAAUCCUGCGAAGAGGAACUGUGAUGGUGCUCACGUAGGUUCGGACACCUGAGCGCUCUAAGUGAGAGAUAGUUCUGUGGAAGCCCCCACUGGUGCUCUCAACCGUACUUUCUGCCAGCCCCGCCCUAGAUCGGGUUCUAUUUGCAAUGCUAUCCCUAUCUCUAGUUUCUCCAGGCCGAAUCCUCCUGACUUGCAGGUCCAGUGUGAUUGCUGGAUGACGCUGGGUGGCAGCUGAGGACCUGCUAGACUCUCCCUCUUCUACUGUUAUUCUUGACACAAGUCUUGAGUUGGACAGCGGGGUGUAAUCAGUGCCUCUGUGUUCUCUACCUUGUUCUAAAAAGACCCGCGUUACACCUCUGUGCCUAACAGACCUGUUUCUACCCGUUUGCUGUACUGGUCUACCCUGCCUUUGGGAAUUAUGAUGAACAGUACCAUUCUGUCUCUGAAUGGGGGACCGGCUUCGACUACUGAAAGCAGGACGUAAUCUUAUUGGCUCUAAUCUUUGGUUUGUGUUCCUCACUGUAACAUUACUUCUAGCCCCGUUUUCCCAAAUAUGUGCUGCUCCAAACCGCUGCCGUCCACCUUGCCUGAGAGUACUACCAUCUGACUGGUUGGUGUGGGAAUUAAUAACAUUAGUGCGAGGGGCACUAACUCUGGGAACACCAAGGGCUACUCCAAUUCCAUUCCUUAACCUUCCCAGAGUUGCAAAUGACCCUUGCACAGAACCCUGCCUCCUCGCACCACGCCUGCCCCUAGGACCACUGGAGCUCAUGGAGGUCUGGCUUCUGGUUCGCCUAGCCACAGGACUCGAUGGUCUUUGCUGCCUAUGCUCUCUGUUAACACCUGACAGAGGGAUGUCCGUCGAGUCCUCUCCAUGCAUUUCAGAACCUCUGUUGUCAGGGUUUAUGUGGAUUUCCAGGCUAAACCCGAACUCGCCACUGUUCGGGUUUGUUCGACUCACGGCCCUCCAGCUUUGGUUCCCAUUCUGUCCGCUUCGAGUCACAUUCCCAGUGCGCCGAAAGGUAUUCAGCCAUCGCAGCAGAGAGUCCUCAUCUGAAUGUGCUCUAAGGCUUUCUGAGUCUGGAACGUGAAUCAAAACAAUUUAAGGUCAAGUUCUAUAGCAAGACUUCAGAUCUUUAUUAAAACAUUCAAGGAAGACAGUUGUGCUGAGUUAAACUCA